rnacentral:rRNA from 1 species
UACGUAGGGUGCAAGCGUUUAUCGGAAUUACUGGGCGUAAAGCGUGCGCAGGCGGUUUUGUAAGUCUGUCGUGAAAGCCCCGGGCUCAACCUGGGAAUUGCGAUGGAGACUGCAAGGCUUGAAUCUGGCAGAGGGGGGUAGAAUUCCACGUGUAGCAGUGACAUGCGUAGAGAUGUGGAGGAACACCGAUGGCGAAGGCAGCCCCCUGGGUCAAGAUUGACGCUCAUGCACGAAAGCGUGGGGAGCAAACAGG